GUCAGAUGAGAUCAGGCUUUUUCAGAGUGGUAUGGCCGUAAGCGAAAGCUGACCCCAAAUGGGGCCUAUUUAAAUAGUGUAAUCAAAAGACUGACUGAUUGAUUGAUUGAUUGAUUGAUUGAUUGAUUGAUUGAUUGAGUCCCCUUCAAACCUGUGUCCAACCUUUAUCCCAAAACAGGAUGUUGUGCAGAGGCCAUGAAAACACUGAUCCAAAUAAAAAGCUUACAGCACCUAGUAUUCCCAUUCAGUCUCCCAACCGAGUACUAACCAGGCCCAACUCUGCUUUGCUUCCGAGGUCAGAUGAGAUCAGGCUUUGUCAGAGUGGUAUGGCCGUAACCGAAAGCUGACCCCAAAUGGGGCCUAUUUAAAUAGUGUAAUCAAAAGACUGACUGACUGAUUGAUUGAUUGGGUCCCCUUCAAACCUGUGUCCAACCUUUAUCCCAAAACAGGAUGUUGUGCAGAGGCCAUGAAAACACUGAUCCAAAUAAAAAGCUUACAGCACCUAGUAUUCCCAUUCAGUCUCCCAACCAAGUACUAACCAGGCCCGACUCUGCUUUGCUUCCAAGGUCAGAUGAGAUCAGGCUUUUUCAGAGUGGUAUGGCCGUAAGCGAAAGCUGACCCCAAAUGGGGCCUAUUUAAAUAGUGUAAUCAAAAGACUGACUGACUGAUUGAUUGAUUGAUUGGGUCCCCUUCAAACCUGUGUCCAACCUUUAUCCCAAAACAGGAUGUUGUGCAGAGGCCAUGAAAACACUGAUCCAAAUAAAAAGCUUACAGCACCUAGUAUUCCCAUUCAGUCUCAUAACCAAGUACUAACCAGGCCCAACUCUGCUUUGCUUCCGAGGUCAGAUGAGAUCAGGCUUUUUCAGAGUGGUAUGGCCGUAAGCGAAAGCUGACCGCAAAUGGG
ensembl:lncRNA